rnacentral:rRNA from 1 species
UACGUAGGGGGCAAGCGUUGUCCGGAUUUAUUGGGCGUAAAGCGCGUGUAGGCGGUCAGGCAGGUCUGACGUGAAAUCUCGAGGCUCAACCUCGAUCGGUCGUUGGAAACCAUCUGGCUAGAGUCCGGAAGAGGAGAGUGGAAUUCCUGGUGUAGCGGUGAAAUGCGCAGAUAUCAGGAAGAACACCGAUGGCGAAGGCAGCUCUCUGGGACGGUACUGACGCUGAGACGCGAAAGCGUGGGGAGCGAACAGG